GACAGAGGGUGCAAACGUUGUUCGGAAUUACUGGGCGUAAAGCGUGUGUAGGCGGUCCACUAAGUCGGGUGUGAAAGCCCUGGGCUCAACCCAGGAAGUGCACUCGAAACUGGCGGGCUAGAGUAUCGGAGAGGUUGGUGGAAUUCUCGGUGUAGAGGUGAAAUUCGUAGAUAUCGAGAGGAACACCGGCGGCGAAGGCGGCCAACUGGACCCCAUCUGACGCUGAGGCGCGAAAGCCAGGGGAGCAAACGGG
rnacentral:rRNA from 1 species